CAGUAGCCGCGGUAAUACGUAGGGCGCAAGCGUUAUCCGGAAUUAUUGGGCGUAAAGAGCUCGUAGGCGGUUUGUCGCGUCUGCCGUGAAAGUCCGGGGCUCAACCCCGGAUCUGCGGUGGGUACGGGCAGACUAGAGUGAUGUAGGGGAGACUGGAAUUCCUGGUGUAGCGGUGAAAUGCGCAGAUAUCAGGAGGAACACCGAUGGCGAAGGCAGGUCUCUGGGCAUUAACUGACGCUGAGGAGCGAAAGCAUGGGGAGCAAACAGGAUUAGAUACCCGAGUAGUCCCUGUCUCUUAUAC
rnacentral:rRNA from 1 species